CAAAUAUUAAACCCAAUUUAAAGCCCACAGUAUAUCUGGCAGAUGACUAUAAGUAAGUACUGCCCCAUAAUUUGAGAACCUGGAUCUGUGGAAUAAUGACAUUUCCUAGGGCUGCAGAAACAGAGCUUUCACAGCAAGGCAGCAGAGUGGAGUGAGCAUGUAUCAUCCAUCACAAGGCACGUGAUUGUUCCAGCAUACCAAAGUGCCUGCUCAGAGUAAAUGCUGUGUAUUCACACUGGCCAGGUGCAAACCCAGGCCUCAUCUCUGCAGCGCUUCAGGAGCCUUUAAUGGAGCAAACCAUAAAAUAUAAACUCUACAGUUGGAAAUUCUGUCCAAUUUCUUCCAUGUGGCAGAUGCUGUGAUGAGCCACCGAGAUCCUCCUUCAGGAAGGAAGACUUAUUCCUCCAGAUGCUAAGAGUGCUACUGGAGGAUGGCUCUCAGCUGUGAGCCCUCAGCUGAAGACAGUUGUCUCACCUUGAUCAGGCCUCCUUCCAGAAGUAGCCUGCCUUUGAUGACAAACUGAUUGGGCUGAGGGGAACACUAUAAAGCACUUCAGUGUUUUGGAGCUCUCAGCAUCUCAAAUGUCCAAUGGGAUCAAUUCGAAGUUUUCUAUUUUUAAAGGAAAAAACAACAACGACGACAAGAAGAAACAACAAAGCUUGUUAUGAACAACAAAAUAUCACAUGGAUGACUUUCACAGGGAUCUUGGAUUCCCAGCCUCAGAGUCUAUCAGGAAAGCUUUUGACAGGGUUUCAGAAUAUACUGUGCUUAGUAAAAUGAAUUUAAUCUAUCCAUCCAGUAAAUUACAUAACCUCUUUUGUUCCAAGUGCAGUUUACUUACAGAGACUUGCUACACCCUCCAGUCUCCUCUCACUGAAUCCGGUCAAACCCUCCUCUACUGUUUAAAAGGCUGCUAGUCCAUCAACAAAGAUUAUUGAACAUCCAGGGGCACAUUCUCAUGCCAGCAAAGAAUGCAUCUUCAGCGUUGUGGGUUGAAAUUGUGGCCCCUCAAAUGAUACUCCUGUGUCUUAAUCCCUUGAACCUGUGACUGUGACCUUAUUUGGACAAAUAAGAUCCAAAUUGAAUUAAGCUAAGGAGAUUGAAUUAAGCUAAGGAGCUCAGAAAUCAUCCUGGACUUAACGUGGGCUCUAAAUCCAGUGGCAGAUGUCCUUAUAAGAAAAAGGCAGAGGGAGAGUUCAGACACUGAGACACACAGGUCAGACAGCCAUGUAGACAUGGAGGCAGAGAUUAGGAUUAUGCAGCCUUCAGCCAAGGAAUGUCUGGAAUUACUGGGAACUGAAAGAGACAAGGAAGGAUUCUCCCUUGAAGGACUUCAGGGAGAAGAAUGUGGUGCAGAAACACCUUGAAUUCACACUUUGGUCUCCAAAACUGUGAGAAAAGAAAUUUCUGUUGUUUUUAAGCCACAGAUUUGUUACAUCAGCUCUAGGGAAGGAAAGCCAUCAGGUACCAAGUUCAACACCUCAUGCUUGGAGACAUGUCUGAGAUUUGACUCUCCUGGGUUUAUUGGAAUCUUUUUUGUUUUGAAAAUCAACUCUCCGACUCCAACCAUCAUCACCCUACCAUGCCCUGCCAAAAAGGAAAAAAAAAUCUAUUCUUAUAUUUACUUUAAUCAUACUAACACAUAAUGUUACCAAGAGAAUUACUGGUAAUUUACUGCUGAUAAUUAAAUUGAUUAAUUGUUCCUGUUACUCUUGGGUGGUCCUUCUUGUCUUCUUAUUUAGAAUGAAAAAGAUCCAGUUGUCAUAAUAUUUCCAGUUGCUCCUUGAAAGAGAAGGAAGAUCCAGAAUGAUGAAAUGAAAGAGAACAAAAGACUAACUUUGGCCUGGUCCUGGCCUUAACUAUUUGAAUUUCCAUGAAUACAUUUUUGAAACUUGGUGAUUUCUGUAUAUUUCCACAUAUGUCUUGUCACCCACACAUUUCAUUGUUUCUAUACAGACUUCGUAAGGAAAGAAGUGAGAUUUCCACCUCUUGGACACGGAGUAAAUAAAGUCCUCUUCUCAAGGAUAUGUUAUUGCCAAAAAUCAAAGCCCAGCAGUCAUGUUUCUGGGCUGGAAUGGAGAAAUUGCCUCAUCAAUGACCUCUUGACAAUUGACUAAUAAGCUGGGGUGGCUUCUAGGCCCAGAAAGAAACCCAGAGCACUGUAUAACUGAAAACAACUAAACCACAACUUCUAAACCACUUAAUUAGAUUUCCAACUGUUAUUCUUGACUUCAUUAACAAAACAAAACAAAAUAUUAGCUAUAAACAAGGCUCUGCUCAGCCUACACUCUUUGGACAAGACUAUGUAACAUUCCCCAAGCAUGCCCCAUGUUCUUGGCCUCCUCACCUUUACUCUCCCCGUUUCUGUCAUCAGGAACGCUCCCUCUACUUCCCCUACAUCUGCCCCUCAGCUCCUUUCCCCGCUGAGACCUCCUUUCCAUCCCUUAGCUCUUGUUUAAUGUCCCCUUCCUUAUUUGGCCCCUGUGGUUCUUUUUGGCUCCUCUGAUCAUCCUCAAACAUUGGGAUUCCUUAGGGGCUUAAGGCUGGAGAAUGGAGCAGGGGCAGUCUCUUACUCACACCCCAUGUUAGGGGCAAGGGAAAUAGCUCUGGAGUAAAUCAAAGACAAACAAAGCCACCAAGCUAUCCACACAGGGAGCACGUGAACCUGGACCCCUUUUCCCUCAUCCACACUUCGGGGAGGAUAUUGAAUAAAAUAUUUGACCAUUUCUGAUUUUCUUUGCAAAGAGAAUAGUGUGGGCCAG
rnacentral:lncRNA from 10 species